GCCCCGCCCUGGCCUCUGCUCAUUGGCCUGGAUCCCCACAGAGCCGCCCUCAUUGGCCGUCCUUCACCUCAAGGGGGCGGGGCCCAAAGUCGCCGGAGUUUUGCUCGGGACGGGACGUCCGACAGAGGAGAGGCUGACGUCGGGGUGACGCUCCGAGUUAAUCGCAUCUGACGUCACGUCUCGUCUUAGCUCGCCUGCGGCGAUUGGCUGAGCGGCUUUGGGGAUCCCCUGCUAAUUGGGCGUCAAGGUUACAAGGUCUGGUUGUCUCAGUCGGAGCCCCGCCCCUGAAGGGUAAUAGAGGACUGAAGGCAGUAACAGAGUACCUGCCACUGUGGUCCGUGGUGAAGAUCCCCAUCCGGUAAAGGCAGGACAUGUGACCAAGUAUGGAUUUUAUCUUCCGACAGCUGCAGAAGCUUUGGACCUUGAUGUGCCUCUGUGGGGGCGGGCACAGUAGGAUGUCUCUAGAACUUUUCCUUAAAAGGAAGUUCGGUAGUGGGGUGGGACAGACUAUACUUUAUUCCAGACUUGAAAUUACCUAGUCGGCUGUAGUCUUCCAUAGUUGUAUGGAGCAACUGCAGUACAAAAUUAUGCCAAGAGAUUAAAUGUGUUUCGUGUGGUCGGCAUGGUACAAUAGAGUUGAAUAUAAGGUCUUUCAAAACCAACUCAUACAUGCGUUUGGUCUUAUAGGAACAGAAUAUGCCCUGGACUCGCCAUAUGAUUAGGGCUAUGCCUUCUUAAUGGGGCAUGUGACACCCAUGUUUGGGGUUUCUUCUCUCAGAGGACCCUAGAAGAGAACUGAUCUUGACCUCGGUGAAAAGAAACAUGGACAGCCAUUCUCUGUUUGUUUGAGAUCUGUACGUUUCAUUUGACAGGCCUGUGAGAAAACCUGGCUAGGCUUUAGGCUAGGAGAAGGUCUUAUUGAGGUUAAAUGGAGGAGGUAGAGGCCAAAGUGUAAGGAGGCUUGGCUUACUUCCCACUCCAGUUUAUGCUGUGUGUGGGCAUGCCUAGGGUAGGGCGUUAAACCAGUCCUCUUUAAGCUCUGUGUGGAUAGACUAGAAAAGUUUCCCGGAUGGGUGAUCAGAAACACAAGACUAGGGCGGUGAUGGUGCAUGCCUUUAAUCCCAGCACCCAGAGGCAGAGGCAGGCAGAUUUCUGUGAGUUCAAGGCCAGCCUGGUCUACAGAAUGAGAAACACAAGACAAGUGCCAGAAGAGGAUUCAACUAGAAGCAGACCAAGAGUAAAUAAUCUGUCCUCCCUUACUUCCUAGAAGGGAAAGGACCUUUAAAGAGAAGCCAUUCUUUGUUCAAAGGCACAAAACUGAUUGGGAAGAACUGAGAUCCUGGCCAUCUGUCCUGAUUUUCUGGUUUGAUUCUUCUGCAGUUCCUUCCACCUCAUGAUAACAAGCAAUAGUUGAAAAUCUGGGAGAUCCUUAAGAAGAAUUGGAAGUAGAAAAUAGUGGGACCUUGGUAUCCUGUUUUACGCACCUCUGUAAACGCUGUGGGUUUGUUUGAGUGUUCAGAAAGGAAAUGGAAGUCUAAGGGAUAAGAAAACAAAAGAUUAAAAAAAUAGUCAUGGCUUGACAUUCAAAUCUGUUGGUUACUUAAGUAGCCUUUUCUACCUUCUUUCACAUCUCUGUUUGUUCUCCUUGCACUCUUGGGGUUGUUUUAUUUUCACGUCACUAAAGCAAAACCAAUUGGAGCAAACUAAUUUUUUGCCUCUGCAGCUGUAGAUGAAAGAAACAUAAAUCUGUUCUUGCUUUUGUAAGCAGCAGGCUGAUGAGACUGGUGAUUUUGCUUUAAGAAAAUAAAAGUUCUGCCUUUUAAAGGGCACUUGUCAACAGAG